rnacentral:rRNA from 1 species
UACGAAGGGGGCUAGCGUUGCUCGGAAUCACUGGGCGUAAAGCGCACGUAGGCGGAUUGUUAAGUCAGGGGUGAAAUCCUGGAGCUCAACUCCAGAACUGCCUUUGAUACUGGCGAUCUCGAGUCCGGGAGAGGUGAGUGGAACUGCGAGUGUAGAGGUGAAAUUCGUAGAUAUUCGCAAGAACACCAGUGGCGAAGGCGGCUCACUGGCCCGGUACUGACGCUGAGGCACGGAAAGCGAUGGGGA